ACGCCCUACGGGGGAAAGAUUUAUCGGGGAAGGAUUGGCCCGCGUUGGAUUAGCUAGUUGGUGGGGUAAAGGCCUACCAAGGCGACGAUCCAUAGCUGGUCUGAGAGGAUGAUCAGCCACAUUGGGACUGAGACACGGCCCAAACUCCUACGGGAGGCAGCAGUGGGGAAUAUUGGACAAUGGGCGCAAGCCUGAUCCAGCCAUGCCGCGUGAGUGAUGAAGGCCUUAGGGUUGUAAAGCUCUUUCACCGGAGAAGAUAAUGACGGUAUCCGGAGAAGAAGCCCCGGCUAACUUCGUGCCAGCAGCCGCGGUAAUACGAAGGGGGCUAGCGUUGUUCGGAAUUACUGGGCGUAAAGCGCACGUAGGCGGAUAUUUAAGUCAGGGGUGAAAUCCCAGAGCUCAACUCUGGAACUGCCUUUGAUACUGGGUAUCU
rnacentral:rRNA from 1 species